rnacentral:rRNA from 1 species
AUUGAACGCUGGCGGCAUGCCUUACACAUGCAAGUCGAACGGCAGAACGGGAGCUUGCUCCUGGUGGCGAGUGGCGAACGGGUGAGUAAUAUAUCGGAACGUGCCCAAUCGUGGGGGAUAACGUAGAGAAAUUUACGCUAAUACCGCAUACGAUCUAAGGAUGAAAGCGGGGGAUCGCAAGACCUCGCGCGAUUGGAGCG